GGAGAGAUGGCAGAGUGGUCGAAUGCGGCGGUCUCGAAAACCGUUGUUCGCUUUCCGGCGGACCGGGGGUUCGAAUCCCCCUCUCUCCGCUA
rnacentral:tRNA from 1 species